rnacentral:rRNA from 1 species
UACGAAGGGUGCAAGCGUUACUCGGAAUUACUGGGCGUAAAGGGUGCGUAGGUGGUCGUUUAAGUCCGUUGUGAAAUCCCUGGGCUCAACCUGGGAAUGGCAGUGGAUACUGGACGGCUAGAAUGCGGUAGAGGGUAGUGGAAUUCCCGGUGUAGCAGUGAAAUGCGUAGAGAUCGGGAGGAACACCAGUGGCGAAGGCGGCUACCUGGACCGGUUCUGACGCUGAGGCGCGAAAGCGUGGGUAGCAAACAGG